CCGACGCUCUGGUGGUUGCCCCGCCCGCGUGCGGCCAGCCCUCGGGCAGUGGGAGCCCGCCCGCGUCCUCGGGUCCGCGCAGCCUCCCGCGCGGGCACGGCUGGCGCGGCCGCCGGACUGUCCACCCGACCGCGGGCCCCGGCGAGCGGACCCCGCGCUCGCGGCCAGUUUGCCUCCCCCAAAAUGAGAAGGUUGGGGAAGCACUUCAAGGAAGGGCCGGAAGCCUGAAUCUGCCUGUGCCCCUGGCGGUAGGACGAGCACCUGGCCGGCGGGCCUGUUACCGCGGCUACUUCCGGAGCUACUCCCCCCGAGAUGGCAGAAACUAGCACCGGGUCCCACCGCGCUCACCUCGCAGGCUCCCUCUUGGCGCCCAAAACCAAGCAGAAGCCACAAUCUAUAGAGAUGCAGUAACCUGUGACAUGAGAGAGAUUACUCAGCCAUAAAAAGGAACGAAGUUGAGCCAUUUGCAGAGACGUGGAUGGACCUAGAGACCAUCAUGCAGAAUGCAGAGUGAGAGUGCCUGAGCUCCGGGAAGACAAAAAUGACAAGACACUGUCCUCACAGAGCUUAUGUUAGAGGGCAGUCAGAAAUUCAAGUAACAAAAUAACAACCCAGAAAGGUAACGACUGUGAUGCUGAAGGUGGGAAAAGAGAAGAUGUGCUUGGGGACAGCCUCACCAGGUCCCUGCACGUGUGGGCAUGGGAGCUGGUGACAGUACCAUUCAGCUGAAGGCAGUGGUGUGUGUGUGCUGCUGUAUAGAACGUUCUGCUGAAGUUUCCCACGGACUGUGACAGUUCCCUGAAGGUCAUUGGCUGAGGACAGACGCAGGCUGGGACCAGAUAUUCUAAUGUCUGUGACUAUUCGAGUCCCCAAAAUAAGCAGAGCCUUGUAUGCAGAGACCCAGAGAAAUACAACUUUCCUCAGGUGGCUUCUGCAAGAGGAGGAAAGACAUUCGCAUUUGCCAAGAGACCCGGACCUCAGACCCUGGAGAAAAAGGAACCCUAAGAAAAGCACUGGGUCGACACGGGAAACGAGCCCCAGUGCUUCUCAGAUCCACACCACGUCACCAGGACCGCACACGGCAGUGGAAUUCCAGCCACCGGUUUCAGAAACGACGCUGAGAGCAAGCCUGUCUUCACAGAGCUAGUCAUCGUGUUGCUGAGACAGACCAACAGACACGCGCGGCGUACACAGUGUGACGGGUGCCACACCAGGGCCCACAGGCCCUAGGAACUCACACAGAUCCAGAGCCUUAGAUGUCAUGUUGUCCUUGAUGUCUUUGCAGUGGAAAACCGUUACUCUACUGUCCAUUCAGUUUGGAGCCAAACGGAAUUAAAAUCUGCCUACUUGCAAUUUCUACCCACGUGUUCUGUUCUGACCACUGCAGCAACUCACACGAGGUCUUUCGUUACCCUGGUUGGUCACCUUUGGACACACUCAGGUGUGUUAAUGAACCAUGAAGGGUCGAGCCCAGCACAGGACACCGCCUCCACCGUGACCUGAUGACACUGGAUCCAAUGUUACUGUCCCUGCGCAGAGCUCUCUUGUUCUGAUAAUGAAGUUCGGAUGGGACUUGCCCUCUGGCAGCCUUUCAACAUAGUGGGCCACGCGGAGCCUAAAAUCAGCUUUAAAACCCAACUCCCUCCUCUGGUCAGAUCAUAUAUUCCAGGGACUCUGAUUAUUUGGAUUCCACUUCGUGACUAAAAAAUGUUGACACCAACAGAACAGCACCAACUUUUAAAAACUGUCACAAGGAAGGAUCUCUGAAAGAGACAAAGGACUAGAGGAAAAUGGUACCAGCUGGAAGGUCAGAUCUACACAAUGUAGAAUUUUGGAACUAGUAAUAAAUAUGCGGUUAAGUGUAAAAGCAUUUUCAAAAGUCAUUUUAAAACUUCUUUAAAGAAUAAAGCUUCACAUCCUUGUCAACACUAGGUAUUUCCAAUCCUUUUUAAUCUUAGCCAUUCUGGUGAGGGUGCGGCGGUGCUAUGCCACUGUCGUUUUAACAUUAAACAUUUAUUAAAUGCAUACGUGACAUGCUUAUAAAAUGGAGUAUUAGCUGUAAAUGAAGUUUUUCAAAGGAGGUUUAAUAUUCUGGGGAUAUGCUUAUGAUAUGCUAAAGAUGAAAAAUAAUAUAUAAACUCUGUGUACAGUAUACUUUUGUUUUUAUUUUAAUAUAUACAUAUUAAUAAAGAGGACUGGAAGAAAUUCACCAAGAUAUCAGGGCAGACCUUGCUUUAUUGCGCUUCGCAGAUGUCGCUUUUUUAAACAAAUCGAAGGUUCGUGGCAACCCUGCCUCAAGCAAGUCUGUCGGCGCCGUUUUUCCGACAGCAUUGGCUCCCCUCGUGCCUCUGUGCUACAUUUUGGUAAUUCUCUCAAUAUUUCAAACAUUUUCAUUAUUAUUAUAUUUGUUAUGAUGAUCUGUGAUCCGUGACCCUUGAUGUUACUACUAUGACUCCCUGAAGGCUUGGAUGAUGGAUAGCACUUUUAAGCAAUAAAGUAUUUUUUAAUUAA